rnacentral:rRNA from 1 species
GACGAACGCUGGCGGCGUGCUUAACACAUGCAAGUCGAACGGAAAGGCCCUGCUUUUGUGGGGUGCUCGAGUGGCGAACGGGUGAGUAACACGUGAGUAACCUGCCCUUGACUUUGGGAUAACUUCAGGAAACUGGGGCUAAUACCGGAUAGGAGCUCCUGCUGCAUGGUGGGGGUUGGAAAGUUUCGGCGGUUGGGGAUGGACUCGCGGCUUAUCAGCUUGUUGGUGGGGUAGUGGCUUACCAAGGCUUUGACGGGUAGCCGGCCUGAGAGGGUGACCGGCCACAUUGGGACUGAGAUACGGCCCAGACUCCUACGGGAGGCAGCAGUGGGGAAUAUUGCACAAUGGGCGGAAGCCUGAUGCAGCAACGCCGCGUGCGGGAUGACGGCCUUCGGGUUGUAAACCGCUUUCGCCUGUGACGAAGCGUGAGUGACGGUAAUGGGUAAAGAAGCACCGGCUAACUACGUGCCAGCAGCCGCGGUGAUACGUAGGGUGCGAGCGUUGUCCGGAUUUAUUGGGGGUAAAGGGCUCGUAGGUGGUUGAUCGCGUCGGAAGUGUAAUCUUGGGGCUUAACCCUGAGCGUGCUUUCGAUACGGGUUGACUUGAGGAAGGUAGGGGAGAAUGGAAUUCCUGGUGGAGCGGUGGAAUACGCAGAUAUCAGGAGGAACACCAGUGGCGAAGGCGGUUCUCUGGGCCUUUCCUGACGCUGAGGAGCGAAAGCGUGGGGAGCGAACAGGCUUAGAUACCCUGGUAGUCCACGCUGUAAACGGUGGGUACUAGGUGUGGGGUCCAUUCCACGGGUUCCGUGCCGUAGCUAACGCUUUAAGUACCCCGCCUGGGGAGUACGGCCGCAAGGCUAAAACUCAAAGGAAUUGACGGGGCCCCGCACAAGCGGCGGAGCAUGCGGAUUAAUUCGAUGCAACGCGUAGAACCUUACCUGGGUUUGACAUGGAUCGGGAGUGCUCAGAGAUGGGUGUGCCUCUUUUGGGGUCGGUUCACAGGUGGUGCAUGGCUGUCGUCAGCUCGUGUCGUGAGAUGUUGGGUUAAGUCCCGCAACGAGCGCAACCCUUGUUCACUGUUGCCAGCACGUUAUGGUGGGGACUCAGUGGAGACCGCCGGGGUCAACUCGGAGGAAGGUGGGGAUGACGUCAAGUCAUCAUGCCCCUUAUGUCCAGGGCUUCACGCAUGCUACAAUGGCUGGUACAGAGAGUGGCGAGCCUGUGAGGGUGAGCGAAUCUCGGAAAGCCGGUCUCAGUUCGGAUUGGGGUCUGCAACUCGACCUCAUGAAGUCGGAGUCGCUAGUAAUCGCAGAUCAGCAACGCUGCGGUGAAUACGUUCCCGGG